GCGCGAAACCUUCGCAAUGUGCGAAAGCACGACGAGGGGAUCCCAAGUGUUGGCUCGUAAGAGUCAUCUGUUUCUCUGUCUAAAAAACAGAGAGAGUAAGGGCUGGGUAAGACGGGUGCCAGCCGCCGCGGUAAUACCUGCAGCCCAAGUGGUGGCCACUAUUAUUGGGCCUAAAACGUCCGUAGCCGGUUUUGUAAAUGCCUGGGUAAAUCGUACGGCUUAACCGUACGAAUUCCGGGUAGACUGCAAGACUUGAGACUGGGAGAAGCUAGAGGUACUCCGGGGGUAGAGGUGAAAUUCUGUAAUCCUCGGGGGACCACCGGUGGCGAAGGCGUCUAGCUAGAACAGGUCUGACGGUGAGGGACGAAGCCCUGGGGCGCAAACGGGAUUAGAUACCCCGGUAGUCCAGGGUGUAAACGCUGCUCGCUUGAUGUUAGCCGGGCUUCGAGCCCAGCUAGUGUCGGAGAGAAGUUGUUAAGCGAGCUGCCUGGGAAGUACGGUCGCAAGACUGAAACUUAAAGGAAUUGGGCGGGGGA
rnacentral:rRNA from 1 species